rnacentral:rRNA from 1 species
AUUGAACGCUGGCGGCAGGCCUAACACAUGCAAGUCGAGCGGAGCGGCGGACGGGUGAGUAAUGCCUAGGAAUCUGCCUGGUAGUGGGGGAUAACGUCCGGAAACGGGCGCUAAUACUGCAUACUAUCAGAUGAGCCUAGGUCGGAUUAGCUAGUUGGUGGGGUAAAGGCCUACCAAGGCGACGAUCAGUAACUGGUAUGAUAGGAUGAUCAGUCACACGGGAACUGAGACACGGUCCAGACUCCAACGGGAGGCAGCAGUGGGGAAUAUUGGACAAGUGGCGUAAGCCUGAUCCAGCCAUGCCGCGUGUGGGAAGAAGGUCGUCGGAUUGUAAAGCACUUUAAGUUGGGAGGCGUUACCAACAGAAUAAGGACAGGCUAACUUCGUGCGAGGAGCCGCGGUAAUAC